rnacentral:rRNA from 1 species
AAUAUAGUGGCGGUCUCGCUGUAGCUUCCUCUGCGUAGUAGCACACCUCGCACUGGGGAACAGCGUGGCCACGCCGUUAAACCCCCCACUUCUGAAAGGGUGACCUCGGAUCAGGUAGGGAUACCCGCUGAACUUAAGCAUAUCAAUAAGCGGAGGANAAUAUAGUGGCGGUCUCGCUGUAGCUUCCUCUGCGUAGUAGCACACCUCGCACUGGGAAACAGCGUGGCCACGCCGUUAAACCCCCCACUUCUGAAAGGUUGACCUCGGAUCAGGUAGGAAUACCCGCUGAACUUAAGCAUAUCAAUAAGCGGAGGA